rnacentral:rRNA from 1 species
AUUGAACGCUGGCGGCAGGCCUAACACAUGCAAGUCGAGCGGAUGACGGGAGCUUGCUCCUUGAUUCAGCGGCGGACGGGUGAGUAAUGCCUAGGAAUCUGCCUGGUAGUGGGGGACCACGUGUCGAAAGGAACGCUAAUACAGCAUACGUCCUACGGGAGAAAGCAGGGGACCUUCGGUCCUUGCGCUAUCAGAUGAGCAUAGGUCGGAUUAGCUAGUUGGUGGGGUAAUGGCUCACCCAGGCGACGAUCCGUAACUGGUCUGAGAGGAUGAGCAGUCACACUGGGACUGAGACACGGUCCAGACUCCUACGGGAGGCAGCAGUGGGGAAUAUUGGACAAUGGGCGAAAGCCUGAUCCAGCCAUGCCGCGUGUGUGAAGAAGGUCUUCGGAUUGUAAAGCACUUUAAGUUGGGAGGAAGGGCAGUAAGUUAAUACCUUGCUGUUUUGACGUUACCGACAGAAUAAGCACCGGCUAACUCUGUGCCAGCCGCCGCCGUAACAC